UAGGGAAUCUUCGGCAAUGGACGAAAGUCUGACCGAGCAACGCCGCGUGAGUGAAGAAGGUUUUCGGAUCGUAAAACUCUGUUGUUAGAGAAGAACAAGGACGUUAGUAACUGAACGUCCCCUGACGGUAUCUAACCAGAAAGCCACGGCUAACUACGUGCCAGCAGCCGCGGUAAUACGUAGGUGGCAAGCGUUGUCCGGAUUUAUUGGGCGUAAAGCGAGCGCAGGCGGUUUCUUAAGUCUGAUGUGAAAACCCCCGGCUCAACCGGGGAGGGUCAUUGGAAACUGGGAGACUUGAGUGCAGAAGAGGAGAGUGGAAUUCCAUGUGUAGCGGUGAAAUGCGUAGAUAUAUGGAGGAACACCAGUGGCGAAGGCGGCUCUCUGGUCUGUAACUGACGCUAAGGCUCGAAAGCGUGGGGAGCAAACAGG
rnacentral:rRNA from 1 species